AUAUCAAUAAGCGGAGGAAAAGAAACUAACAAGGAUUCCCCUGGUAACGGCGAGUGAAGCGGGAAAGCUCAAAUUUAAAAUCAAGCGUCUUUGGCGUUUGAGUUGUAAGCUAGAGAGGUGUUUUCGGCGGGUGCUCGGGUAUAAGUCCUCUUGGAAUAGGGCGUCAUAGAGGGUGAGAAUCCCGUCUUUGACUCGAGCUUACCUGCUAUGUGUUACAUCUUCAACGAGUCGGUUUGUUUGGGAAUGCAGACCAAAAUGGGUGGUAAAUUCCAUCUAAAGCUAAAUAUAGGCGAGAGACCGAUAGCGCACAAGUA
rnacentral:rRNA from 1 species